ensembl:lncRNA
GUUUUAUUGCCUGGGCCACAUUGACUGGGGAGGAAUCGUCUUGGGCUGCCAACGAAAUAUAUAAUGUAGCUCAUUUCUCUGUCUGUGACCACAAAGGCAUUCCAGUAAGGAAGGUAAGAAAAAAGCAUCCAUCCAAACAUUUCUGAUACCAGCAAAAACACUUAUUAGUACAAGAAAACACUCCACCUUGUUGGUGUUCUGUUUUGGGCACACAAAAACCCACAAAAGCGAAAUCCCAAACGACUACAACUCUCUACCAAGCUCUCUGCCCUGCAGAAUUUUGCUUGCUGCCUAUGAAAGAGCAGGACCUGAAGGAGGGGAGGUUAUUGAUAGGGAAGAUGCCAUUAAUAUUUCUGGAAUUGUAAGAGCAUCUCAUGUGACUGCUAUUAUUAUAACAGCACUUACAAGCACUGCUGAACGUUAGGGAUUGAAAUACUGGUAGCUGUGUUUGAGGCUUUAUUUAUUAAUGCCUCUAAAAUGCUUUGAGAUCAUCAAUUAUAGGAUUUUUACAGGGAAAACUUUUAUACUGCCUGUAGCCAUGCUGGCCUCAGUCCUCAGCUGAAAGUUGAAACAGCAUGCUACGAUAAAAGCUGCCGUACUGUCCUGUAAUGUAAGUUAAUGCAAAAUAACCACAGGCCUCUCUAACUUCCACUGUGUGUGUCUACUUACACACACUGGCUGGAGUUUGUGAGGGUGUAUUGUGUCAGAGUCAAUCACAGCUUUUCGUCAGCCUCCAUGGCCUAUUGGCUCUGUGUAGCUGAGGCACGCCAGCAGCAGACUUUGCUUUCUUCUGCAUCAGCGAAGCUAACUGAAGGCUGGCAUUCUGCAUAACUCCAGAGCCCUCAAGAUGCUCAUACAGUUUUGUUGCUCUAUCCCAGUGCCACCUGCAUUGUAAGGAUGUUCUCAGCUUGUAUCAACACCACCACGUAUCCUACCAUUCUGUCCAUAAACUUUAUCUGUGGGAACAUGGCUUCAUGUCUGUGCUGGAGAUGACAAUCUGGCUUGGUAGAGGCAGCUAUAAAAAUCACUGCUCAUGAAUCAGUUAUUGGAAAUAAUCGUACUUUUUAUAAGCUCUGCUUUCAGAUGUUACCCUGGACUGUCCUUGACUUGGUGAGCGCCUGUUGCUUCCUCCUGCUCUCACUGAAUCGAGCUGAGACCUGGCACUGCACAUUAGCUGAAAGCCGUCCUUGUCUCCACCGCCUCAGCCACUCUCUCUUCUUAUACAGUCAACAUUACCUUGGUAACACAAACCUACCUGCAAUUUUCUCAUUACUACACACAUAUGGCAAAACCAAAAGUCAACAAUAUGGUGAGCUAUUCUGCAGGGGAUUUUUGGCAAACCCAAGCCUGGCGUGUGAUUAACAGCAAACCAUUUGAAAAGCAGUUCAACAUUUUGAGAAUAAUCACUUGCGCUGGCUUUUUUUUAUUGACUUGCAAAAUCAAACUACCUUAACUUGCCAAGAGUUCAGUCCUCCAGACACAAAGUAAGGGGAAUGCAUUUUAGAAACCUCAAUAAAUAAAUAAAUAAAUAAAUAAAUAACCUCCUCUAGUUAGCCAUUUAAUACAUAAUUAUUUAAGAUAAAAUAUCUCAAGAGAUUCCAGAAUGAGAAGGAAGCUCCCAGACUGCAGGAGUAGGAAAUGGAAUAUUCUUGGUACUGGCAGCAGAAGACAUCACUUGGCUUUUCUGGG